GACGUAGGGCGCGAGCGUUGUCCGGAUUUAUUGGGCGUAAAGAGCUCGUAGGCGGCUUGUCGCGUCGUCCGUGAAAACCUGCGGCUCAACUGCAGGCUGGCGGUCGAUACGGGCAGGCUGGAGUUCGGUAGGGGAGACUGGAAUUCCUGGUGUAGCGGUGAAAUGCGCAGAUAUCAGGAGGAACACCGGUGGCGAAGGUGGGUCUCUGGGCCGAUACUGACGCUGAGGAGCGAAAGCGUGGGGAGCGAACAGG
rnacentral:rRNA from 1 species